UACGAAGGGGGCUAGCGUUGCUCGGAAUCACUGGGCGUAAAGCGCACGUAGGCGGCUUCUUAAGUCAGGGGUGAAAUCCUGGAGCUCAACUCCAGAACUGCCUCUGAUACUGAGGAGCUCGAGUCCGGGAGAGGUGAGUGGAACUCCGAGUGUAGAGGUGAAAUUCGUAGAUAUUCGGAAGAACACCAGUGGCGAAGGCGGCUCACUGGCCCGGUACUGACGCUGAGGUGCGAAAGCGUGGGGAGCAAACAGGG
rnacentral:rRNA from 1 species